ensembl:lncRNA
CUUGCACAAGGUAAUGGAGAAGGAAAGGAUUUUAUCCUUCCAUGCUUAAAUGAACAACAAGGGCUUGGAAGUGAUUUUCCACUGGUGGGAAGUGAACUGAACCACAACAAUAGCACCUGGACUCAAAUCACAUCAAGCAGUACAGCAUUUACAGAAAAUUAAGAUGAGAACUGGCACAAAUGGCUCUGUACCUCCUAUUGCAGGAGUCAUUCCUCAUGGGACAGUCUAAAGAGAUCACUGGGAAAAGAAUGAAUUCAACAGACUGACUCGUGGAGCAGCCUGAUCAGAAGAGCUGAGCUUCAGACGCAAGUCUGGCUAGCUAACCAGGGCUGGGCAGAUUCCCACCGUAUAACUUGGCAGGAGGAAUGAAGGUUCGGACUACUCGAGGGAGACCGCAGGAGAAACCUGGACACCCUUGGUAUGGGAGGCCUGUACUUGUACAGGAGGAUCGGCUGAAGGAUUUUGCCUCCCACAAUUCACCAUGACUGUGUAUUUAACCAUGAUCCCGAACCAGUAGCUCCAGCUCCACAGUAAAGGAAAGCACAGGCUUCUUGGGCCUAUUACUGCACUGGACACAGUUCUCAGAAAUUCCAGACUCAAUUUUCAGAAAAUCAAAGUUGCUUUGUGACAGCCACCCUGAAGGCACAGAGCUGCGAACAUCACGCUCCUGCUGCAGGGGGCCAGCCAGCAGCACUCAUGCCAGGGGCUGCACGAGGUUGUCGUAUGUACCCCAAAUCAGGGGAAAUAUACCCCAAAACAGGGAAAAUGCUUGAAUGAUACUGUGCAGCUCCUUUCCCACAUGCCACUUCCAUUUUAAGCCUGAGAAUGAUGAUCACCUGUGUGAUAAAUAUAUAAAUGCAACAAUUAUUAUGUACCCCACGCUUCUGCAUUUCCUGGGGUAACUUUCAGUCCUGAUUUCUCCAUUUCAAGUCCGCAAAUACCUUUUCACCUCACCACUUUGGACUGACGCAGGUCCAUUGCUCUCAGGGGGGUCAGAGCUCCCUGCCUGCACACAGUGGGAGCAUAUGUCAGUGCACAUGUAUGUAUAUUUGUAGAGAAAACAGCAAAACCCAGAAGAUUUCUUCAGACCCAGGGAAAGCUCAACAUUUUUUGCCUCCUCUUUGUCAUGUUUUCCCGAGGAAAAAAAAAAAAAAACAACAUUGGACUUUCUUGGCUGAAAGCUGUCAUCUCCAAUGAAAAGCUGAUUAUAC